GGGUAUUGGAGUAAUAUACAAAAUCAUGUAAUUAGGAAAUUGGUGUAAUAAUAUUGGAAAUAUGUAUUUUUCAUCUCUCAAGUAUUUUGGAAGUGUUCCUCAUUUUUUAAUUGGCGCAAAUCGAUCCCUUAAUUUAUUAUAUCAAUGCACUAAUCAUCCACGUCCUAACACUUUUUCCCACAAUAUUUGGUCAGAUACACCAUUUUAAUAAGCAUUUUUAAUGUUACCGUUUUGUCACUGUAUAGGUUAGAUAUAGAUUUUUAUACAUAUACAUAUUGAAGUGUGCACUCAGGUCGUCCGUGCUCCAGCUUCGCGCUCGACAGUGGGCAUCACUUCCUCUGCACGCACCACAAAGUAAAGUAAAAUAAUGCAAGCGAAUACAGUAGAGUUUGCAUAAUAAAAUUGACUGCUUCACCUGCUACCUGACACUUGUACACUAAACAUAUCACGCCACCAAGGGUGCCCCCGACGAUGCUCCCCACCACGAUCUCAGCCAACACCCCACCAGACGGUCCAGCAGGCCACUGCGUCUCGGGCGGCGGAAGGCUAGGCGGCAGCGGCUGGCGGGGCGGAGGAGUUGGGGAUGAUGGUGGCGGAGGGGGGAAGGGGCAGCAACUGGCGGUUGGAACCGCCUCCUUGCGGCCCCCGCACGUGCCGUAAAGCAUCCACACCGAGUCGAUGCCGAGGUUGGCUUCGGCGAAGGUGCCGUACUCGCCGACGUUGCCGAGACAACCGCGGUCCGGGUUGUCUACAGUGUCCAGCAACACCGAGCAGUAGCCUGGAGGAGCAACGGCUGUCAAAAAUGUAUGCUGCUCCGCCAACCUUGCUGCAAGAGUAGAGCUGCUGCAUUUCGGCGCCAUUCUUGCCCAUGCAUGUCAUUACCAUUUACAUUAAUUACAUAAAUGCGUUGUAUUUGUGGGUAACAGUUAACUCAAAUGAAACCAACUAGCUGCAGACUGACUACUCUAGCUACUUUCAUUGAUCCAUGGCAAAAAGAAUAAACUACUACUACUGUAAUGAACAAUUGCAUACCGAUCCUACACACUCCGUCUUGUUUAUUGGCUAGGAAUGAAAACAAUUGCAUACCUCCUUUUGGUGUCCUGGCCACUGACGCCACGAUGUCGCUGGGGUCAGCAUGGGGUGCGGGUUGGGAGCUAGUAGCUGCUGCAGAGUCAGACACGAAAUAAAUAUAUGAUCCAACAAGUCUUUUUGCUGCAUGCGGCUAGUUCAAUGCAGUGUGUGCAGGGGAUGAGUGUUGAAAUAUGCAAUGCAUACUUGGAACAUUUUACAAGAUUGUGGAGAUCUUAAGAGACUAACUUUGCCAUGUAUAAUGAUAAGAUCAUGGCAAGGUAAGAAGGUUCUAUAAAAUUGGAGAGAAUAUAUGAGCUAUAAUUGUCAAGCUUCAUGGUGAAAUGUAGAAUACUCUAGAACAUAUUUUAGUAUGGUAGAAAUAUAAAAACUAAGUAAGGAUGAGGAUGGUUCUAAAGUUAGGAUAUUUUGUAUUGAAGAGUGUGGAAGUUGCCACAUGGCAACACCACAAUGAUCAUGAGCACAUAUAAAUAGAGGUGCUCCCCUCUCUCCUAGCCGAUUUCUCAACAGUGAGCGAGGCCAAUUAUUAGCAUAUACAUGCAGAACAUAGUAUAAUUAAUAAAGACCGGACAGUCAGUUGAGAGACAGGACCCACCAAAAGCCUCUGGGUUUAUCACUAUAUUUGCAUUGAAAGGCUAAAGUUUAGCACUAAAUCAACCAAACAAGAGAGUUAAUCUGUAGGCUAAACUUUAGUUAAACCUAAAAAACUGUAAAAGCAUCGGAUAGGAUAAACUUUAGUUAAUUCAAAAAAGAUGUAAAAGUAUUAGUUAAGAUAAACUUUAGUCAGGUAAAUAUUUGGUUAGAUACAUCAUUUUAGUAAGCAUUUUUACUGUUACCAUUUUAUCAUUGUAUAGGUUAGAUAUAGAUUUUUAUACAUAUACAUAUUGAAGUGUGCACUCAGGUUGUCCAUGCUCCACGGUUACCCACGGUAGGGUCAUAGAAGGACCAAAAUUGUAUGGCAUUUGUUAUGAAAGCUGGCUCAUCCC
rnacentral:lncRNA from 1 species